rnacentral:lncRNA from 1 species
UUCCUGUUUACCAGUGUGAUGUCAGCAGCUCUGCGUCUUCCAGAACAAUGCGGUGAAUUUGAGAACCACGUGGAAUCUGGACCGAAGGGCCGGCCCGAGGAGCUGGAAUAGCCUGGGCGCAGACUGUUGCGUGUAGACGUGGACCGAUGGGCUGUUCAAGCUCGCAAUAGCAUGCUAGCUGCUAAAGGUAAAGGUGGUUCAACGUCUCACCGCUACCGGCCGGCCUCGGAGUACGACGAUGCCACUCUCGCUCAAAAGAGGGAAUAUUGGAGGAAUAAGAAACGGCAACAGAGGGCUCGUCUGUCGGAGCAGAGAGGAAAGCCAGCGAAGGAGAAGGUCUCGUUCCAGCGUGAUUCCGCUGCGGGGACUUUGCCAAACUUUGCAUUGUCUCGUCCCUUUUACAGUAAUGUCUCAUGCGUUGCUUCAUUAAAGAGGAGAGGUACAGAUGGAGUUGGCUCAGAGGAUGCUGCUAGCGACCAAGAGGAAAGGUGUCUCGAGACCGCAAACGUUAAAGGCUUCCGGCUGACGUCUGGUUCAGUCGUAGCUCCAGGAGCUGCAGCAACACGUGUGGUUAGCUCUCCCAGCUCCGGUGGAACCCAGCUCGGCACCAGUUCAUCGGCGCCUCCUGUGAUCGACUCUAGCGUUACAAACGGCAGCUCCAUCAAAGCAGAACCUCAGCCAUGCGUGUCCGUGCAGGGCAGAUCCGUCCCCAGAACCCGGCCCAAGGCCCACGUUCUGUCACCCAUUCCGCCCAUGACCGACCCACUCGCCACCACACAAAUGAAACGCGCCCCCAUUUCCAGUAAAGCAGCAGUACCUCGGAGUGGACCAAAGAGUGCUUUGGUCUCCAGGAGAAGGGCCGAAGGUCCUCCUCAGCCUCCCUCGGUGUCCGAGGAGGAGAAGGCAGCCAGGCGCAGAGAGCACUGGAGGCUCAAAAAGCGGGAGCAGCGGGCAAAGCUGGCGGCUCAGACGGCUAACGUCAAAGAGAGAACGCAGAUUGGAGGUGGGACACGUCAGAGGACGACGGCACAGAAAACUGUGUCUGGCUUCAUGCUUCCAUCACAGACCUUUCUGAGAGGAAUGGGACAGAAGCUGUGUUCUGUUCGGGUCAAAGUGCCAUUCAUAGCUGCCAGACACGAUUCUGAUAAACCCCGGAGCAGGUCUGUCUCCAUGCUGCCAGCGGGUCCUGUCAAAGUCCAAAACCCUCAGAAGAGCAGAAGAAAGCAGCCGACCCUCACGUGUGAUGUUAACUCUGGGAGGAGGCCAGCGGACUCUCAGAGAAAAGCAAGCUGCCUCACUCCGUCGGACCCCAGAGGCAUCGCUCCGUGUAGGUCUCCUCGACUCAAGUUCAUCGACGCGCAGAAGAAGUUCAUAAGUCUUGGGAAUUUAAGAUGCAAAUCUCCCUCCGUGGCUUCGGCGUUAUCCACCAGAGGACUGCCCAAAGCGGACCCGAAUGACUCAUCAGAGCAGAUCAUAGCCAAGCGGCGAGAGUACUGGAGGAUUAAAAAGCGCGAGCAGCGGGCCAAGCUGUCGCUGGAGUCCAAGACUCGGGCGCAGGAGAAGCAGUCCCUGAGAGUGAGACGGUACCAGCAAAUCCUCGCGGAUCUGAGAAAGACAAGGGCGCUGACGCACUCAACAGGAAGUGCCCUUUCUCCUGAUUCUGAGACCAUCGGAGGCUUCAUCAAGGAGGAUGGGACUCUGACCGUUAACCUUCCUUCAUACAGAAACGCAGCCGGUGGGGGAUGUAAGGAGGAGCGCAGCGGAGGUCCUCAGAAUGUCCACAUGACUCGAGCACAGCACGGAGCCGGGACGACGAGGGGACGUGCUGGUCCGGUCCAGGAAAGCCAGGCUCCACCUCAGGGCGUGCAGCCGGUCCACAGACCUCCAGGAUUACUCCAAAUCAAACCUCACGUUAGCAGCUCCGAUUCUGGCCCGCCCUCAGCCACAUCCCAAAGAGUUGGUCCGCUCACGCAUUCCAGUACCCGCCAGAACACAGGAUCAACAUCUGGAUCAGGCGGGGGCAGCUGUGUGAUGAAAGUGGCCGUCUCCAGCUGUGCUCCGUCUCAGAAUGUGUUGCUGCCAGAGGAGGACAGGAUAGCGAAGAGGAGGGGGUACUGGAGAGUAAAGAAACGUGAGCAGCGAGCAGCCCGCGCUAUUCUCCUGAAGCACAGCUCGGCCCUGCUGAAGAGGAGAGCUCAGAGGCCAGACCCGGCAACCGCCGUGACUACACGUGCAGAAGACUCGCCACAUGGAAAUGACAUAAAACAGGAGAGUGAGUCCACGUCUGACCUACGUUCUCCACCAGAGCAGCCGCCGAGCACCCUGCCUGCCCCUCCGGGGCUGCAGCUGGAGCUGGACCCGAGUCUGUACUCCGACAGCCAAGCUACCACUCUGCUAGCCGUGGCCUCCAUGAAGAAGCUCCUGGAGGAGUCUCUCAGCAGCGUGGCAGAGUGUCAAACGGAGCAGCUUGGUCUUCAAAUCAAGCCGGAUGAAGAUGAUUCUGAGCUGGACGUGAAGCCCGCGGUGUCUCAGCUGAUCUUUGCAAACGACGCCGCUACCUCAGCAGCUGCUGACGCAACUCUGCAGAUGAAAGGCUGGGAUCCAGGUAGUGACGAUGUGGUACCAAGAGGCUCAGUGAGCCCUCAGCUCAACUCUUCACUAGUCAGCGACAUGCUUCCCUCUUUUCCCGCCUGCAGCGAGGUAGAACUUCUCACCUGUGAGCACUCGUCCCAACCCCUCUCUAACCUCACUGAGAAUCGAACCGUGGAAGCUUCUGGGUCUCCGUGCAGAACCCAGAGACUCGUCAGCAACAACCUUCAGGACAUCUGCUCCCCAGAGCCGGCUCAGCUUCGCCACCUGCCAGCUAUGUCCCUGUACCACCCACACCAGCAGCAGCAUCAGGGCUGGUCCCAGAGCAGCAGCCUGCCUCCAGCACAGGCGCACACCCACGUGGGAGCGGAGCGGAGCGGCUUAACCAGCCUGCAGAGGAAGAGGGAGUACUGGAAGCUGAUGAAGAGGCAGCAGAGGGCUCGACUACGGGCCAAGCAGAAGGAGCAACCAUCCAAAAGCAGCAGUCGGCCCCUUGUGGAGAACAUCCAGGUCCCAGGGCCUCUGAAGGAUGUGGGUCGGUGCAAGCCGGCCCCCCAGCCCCACCUGUCGCUCGCCUCUGUGGCUGCAGGGACCGCCAUCCCUAGAGUCCUGGUUGUUAGGCGAACAGCAGCUAACCCCGAACGGUGUCCUGACACGCUUCAGGUCAAACUGCCCAUGACCAGCAGAGAAGAUCGGAUGAAUGUUGGGUCUUUUGAUGAUGGGUGUCUUCAUAAACAGCCCCAUCGUAGCGUGGCCCCAUGCUUCUCUGCUCUGAACCCCCCCGAUAACCCACUGUCCAGCAUCCACUUGCGUUCUAUUGAAUUACCUGGUCAAACAUCUAAUUUCAUCAAAAACUCCUCCUGUGGUCUUCAGAGCCAGUCCUCCUCCAACCUGGCACCCAUUAGCACCUUGGUUCCUCCGAAGCCCAUCCCGGGGGAGUCUGAGGAGGACUUUUUAAGGAGGAAACGAGAGUACUGGAGGAUAAAAAAGAAGGAACAGCGAGCCAGGAAGGCUGUUCGAGACAGGGAUCCCCUUGCACACGUGGUCUCAAACAGCUGGAGUCCCGUUCCACCAGUCCAGGGUCUACAGACUUCAGGAGCUGCACAGGAUCCUGGGAAGUGGGGGGAUCCCUCUGUGGACUCGGAGCCUCUGAAGAGUGUGAAAGUGGACCCAGACCCAUCACAUGACACUCCCCAGGUAGCAGAUGAGCCGGAGCCCCUGUUGACGGACUACGGUGGUUACAACGAAGACGAUGGUCGUCCUUCAGAGGUGGUUUGGAGGAACCGUUACCUGAUGGACUACGACCCGCUCAACCAGCUGUUGGUGUGCAUGGUGUGUGGGGAGCUGCAGUACUCUCACACCCUGGAGGGCGUGAGGGCCCACAUCGACGAGGCUCACCCACACACCAUGACCCUUGACCCCAGGGAGAAGCAGCAGAUCCUGGAGGGUUGGGAUGAGCAGGUGUCCCAACGGGAACGCUUCUUCACCAGCCAGCUGCAGCAGCACAGCACCGUUCUAGCAGAAUCGUACCGGAGCUGA